rnacentral:tRNA from 1 species
GCGGAAGUAGCUCAGUUGGUAGAGCCCUGGUUUGUGGUACCAGUUGUCGCGGGUUCGAGCCCCGUCUUUCGCCCCA